rnacentral:rRNA from 1 species
ACUGAACGCUGGCGGCAUGCCUUACACAUGCAAGUCGAACGGCAGCACGGGAGCAAUCCUGGUGGCGAGUGGCGAACGGGUGAGUAAAGUAUCGGAACGUGCCCAGUCGUGGGGGAUAACGUAGCGAAAGUUACGCUAAUACCGCAUACGAUCUAUGGAUGAAAGCGGGGGAUCGCAAGACCUCGCGCGAUUGGAGCGGCCGAUAUCAGAUUAGGUAGUUGGUGGGGUAAAGGCUCACCAAGCCGACGAUCUGUAGCUGGUCUGAGAGGACGAACAGCCACACUGGGACUGAGACACGGCCCAGACUCCUACGGGAGGCAGCAGUGGGGAAUUUUGGACAAUGGGCGAAAGCCUGAUCCAGCCAUGCCGCGUGCAGGAUGAAGGCCUUCGGGUUGUAAACUGCUUUUGUACGGAACGAAAAGGUUUGGCCUAAUAAGCUGAGCUCAUGACGGUACCGUAAGAAUAAGCACCGGCUAACUACGUGCCAGCCGCCGCGGUAA